rnacentral:rRNA from 1 species
AUUGAACGCUGGCGGCAGGCCUAACACAUGAAAGUCGAACGAGUGGCGGACGGGUGAGUAAUGUCUGGGAAACUGCCUGAUGGAGGGGGAUAACUACUGGAAACGGUAGCUAAUACCGCAUACCAUCGGAUGUGCCCAGAUGGGCUUAGCUAGUAGGUGGGGUAAAGGCUCACCUAGGCGACGAUCCCUAGCUGGUCUGAGAGGAUGACCAGCCACACUGCAACUGUGCCACGGUCCAGACUCCGACGGUAGGCCGCAGUGGGGAAUAUUGCACAAUGGGCGCAAGCCUGAUACAGCCAUGCCGCUUGUAUGAAGAAGGCCUUCGGGUUUUAAAGUACUUUCAGCGGUGAGGCGUUACCCGCAGGAGAAGCACCGGCUAACUCCGUGCCAGCAGCCGCGGUAAUAC